GGGGGGAUAGCUCAGUUGGGAAGAUCUGGGCUUGGAUUUACCUUGCAGUUUCUGUAAGGUCGUAGGUUCGAAUCCCACUCCCCUCU